rnacentral:rRNA from 1 species
UAAUUGAAGAGUUUGAUCAUGGCUCAGAUUGAACGCUGGCGGCAGGCCUAACACAUGCAAGUCGAGCGGUAACAGGAAUUAGCUUGCUAAUUCGCUGACGAGCGGCGGACGGGUGAGUAAUGCCUAGGGAUCUGCCCAGUCGAGGGGGAUAACAGUUGGAAACGACUGCU